AUUAAUUAAUUAAAAACAACAAAAAUGACAGCGCAUAUCUCAAAGACUUAACAAAGUUAAUAUGUUGAUAGUUAAGAUGGUAUUUGUAUUAUGAAAUCACGGAAUUCAUGCAAUGACUGAUAACAAUUAACCCAUUUACUAUAUAAUACUGAUAUGUUUUUUAAUAUAUCUUACAGCAAACAUUCUAGUCUGUCUAUGUGAAUAUCCACCUUGUGUUAGAGAUAAAAACAACGUGCUCACUCGGGAGAGUGAAAUUGGUAGAUAUGGCCAACUGAAAGGGGCUGGAGGGACAAGAUAACAACAUGGUACUUCCUUAUUAGACCAGGCCACUGGGUGCUUCUCAAAUGAGUUAAUUACAACUUCAGUAAGAGAGGAGAACAAGCUGCUACCAAGAUGCUGGAGGACCGUUGCAAAAUGGAGACAUAGCGGUGAAUGACCUAGUAUUGAAUUUGACGGCAAACUGUGCAUUGUGUGUCCAAAGCACAAGUACAAGAUCUCUCUCGCCGAGGGGGAGAGCAUCUACAGAGCCACCAA